AUCACGUUGAAACACCAGUUCCCGUACGAUCACAAACAUUUAAGCAACGUCGAACCUGGUCAGUACCUAGACGGGUGACCGCUUGGGAAUAUCAAGUGCUGUAAG